AGUGAACGCUGGCGGUAGGCCUAACACAUGCAAGUCGAGCGGCAGCACAGUAAGAGCUUGCUCUUACGGGUGGCGAGUGGCGGACGGGUGAGGAAUACAUCGGAAUCUACUUUUUCGUGGGGGAUAACGUAGGGAAACUUUCGCUAAUACCGCAUACGACCUACGGGUGAAAGCAGGGGAUCUUCGGACCUUGCGCGAUUGAAUGAGCCGAUGUCGGAUUAGCUAGUUGGCGGGGUAAAGGCCCACCAAGGCGACGAUCCGUAGCUGGUCUGAGAGGAUGAUCAGCCACACUGGAACUGAGACACGGUCCAGACUCCUACGGGAGGCAGCAGUGGGGAAUAUUGGACAAUGGGCGCAAGCCUGAUCCAGCCAUACCGCGUGGGUGAAGAAGGCCUUCGGGUUGUAAAGCCCUUUUGUUGGGAAAGAAAAGCAGCAGGUUAAUACCCCGCUGUUCUGACGGUACCCAAAGAAUAAGCACCGGCUAACUUCGUG
rnacentral:rRNA from 1 species